rnacentral:rRNA from 1 species
AUCAUGGCUCAGAACGAACGCUGCGGCAGGCCUAACACAUGUAAGUCGAGCGAGACCUUCGGGUCUAUCGGCGGACGGGUGAGUAACGCGUGGGAACGUACCCUUUACUGCGGAUAGCCACUGGAAACGGUGAGUACACUGCAUACGCCCUUCGGGGGAAAGAUUUAUCGGAGAAGGAUCGGCUCGCGUUAGAUUAGAUAGUUGGUGGGGUAAUGCCUACCAAGUCUACGAUCUAUAGCUGGUUUGAGAGGAUGAUCAGCAACACUGGGACAGACACGGCCCAGCUCCUACGGGAGGCAGCAGUGGGGAAUCUUAGACAAUGGGCGCAAGCCAGAUCUAGCCAUGCCGCGUGAGUGAUGAAGGCAUUACGGUCGUAAAGCUCUUUCGCCUGUGAAGAUAAUGACUGUACAGGUAAAGAAACCCGGGCUAACUCCGUGCCAGCAGCCGCGGUAAUACGGACGGGUUAGCGUUGUCCGGAAUUACUGGCGUAAGCGCGCGUAGGC